CGUGAGUGAAGAAGGUCUUCGGAUCGUAAAACUCUGUCCUUGGUGAAGAAAAGAAUGACGGUAGCCAAGGAGGGAGCCCCGGCUAACUACGUGCCAGCAGCCGCGGUAAUACGUAGGGGGCGAGCGUUGUCCGGAUUUACUGGGCGUAAAGGGUGAGUAGGCGGUUGUAUAAGUCAGAUGUAAAAGGCGUAGGCUCAACUUACGUAGGCAUUUGAAACUGUACGACUUGAGUGCAGGAGAGGUAAGUGGAAUUCCUAGUGUAGCGGUGAAAUGCGUAGAUAUUAGGAGGAACACCAGUGGCGAAGGCGACUUACUGGACUGUAACUGACGCUGAGUCACGAAAGCGUGGGUAGCAAACAGGAUUAGAUACCCUGGUAGUCCACGCUGUAAACGAUGAGUGCUAGGUGUUGGGUAGCGAUAUUCAGUGCCGAAGUUAACACAAUAAGCACUCCGCCUGGGGAGUACGGUCGCAAGACUGAAACUCAAAGGAAUUGACGGGGACCCGCACAAGCAGCGGAGCAUGUGGUUUAAUUCGAAGCAACGCGAAGAACCUUACCAAGGUUUGACAUCCCCUUGACAGAUGCAGAGAUGUGUCCUCCCCUUCGGGGGCAAGGGAGACAGGUGGUGCAUGGUUGUCGUCAGCUCGUGUCGUGAGAUGUUGGGUUAAGUCCCGCAACGAGCGCAACCCUUAUCCUUAGUUGCCAGCAAGUAAUGUUGGGCACUCUAAGGAGACUGCCGGUGAUAAACCGGAGGAAGGUGGGGAUGACGUCAAAUCAUCAUGCCCCUUAUAUCUUGGGCUACACACGUGCUACAAUGGUCGGUACAAAGGGAAGCGAAAGAGUGAUCUGGAGCAAAUCUCAAUAAACCGAUCCCAGUUCGGAUUGUAGGCUGCAACUCGCCUACAUGAAGUUGGAGUUGCUAGUAAUCGCGAAUCAGAACGUCGCGGUGAAUGCGUUCCCGGGUCUUGUACACACCGCCCGUCACACCAUGGAAGUUGGUAAUACCCAAAGUCGCUGAGCUAACCGCAAGGGGGCAGGCGCCUAAGGUAGGAUCAAUGACCUGGGGUG
rnacentral:rRNA from 1 species